UACGUAGGGGGCAAGCGUUGUCCGGAAUUAUUGGGCGUAAAGAGCGCGUAGGCGGUCGUUCAAGUCGCGUGUGAAAGCCCCCGGCUCAACUGGGGAGGGUCACGCGAUACUGAUCGACUCGAAGGCAGGAGAGGGUAGUGGAAUUCCCGGUGUAGUGGUGAAAUGCGUAGAUAUCCGGAGGAACACCGGUGGCGAAGGCGGCUUCCUGGACCGACACUGACGCUGAGGCGCGAAAGCUAGGGGAGCAAACGGG
rnacentral:rRNA from 1 species